GCGUUCGUAGCUCAAUUGGAUAGAGCGUCUGACUACGGAUCAGAAGGUUAGGGGUUCGAUUCCUCUCGGGCGCG
rnacentral:tRNA from 1 species